UGUGUGUGUGUGUGUGUGUGUGUGUGUGUGGCUGACCUGCACAUAAGGAUUAUGUAAUGUAGUAAUAAUUGGAUACUUCUUUUGCAGAAGCAAAUGUUGGAGAAGACCUGUUGGCAUCACUCUCCCGAGAUGACAUCAAAGAUCUUUUCCCAGGUCCUGAGCAUUUCCUUAGGCGUCGAGCUCUAUGGCUUGCAGUGCACAAGUGUGAGCAAGAUGAGACUGCUGAAAAACCACUAACAACUACUGGAGAUGGUGACUUCUCUAGAGAGGAACCCAACACUUCCAAGUUUGUGACUAUGUCCAAUCCGGAGUACAUAAUCUUCACAGACAGUGAACUUGAGCAAGCUCGACAGUCCUACUUCGAACAGAAGCGGCAGGGGACACAGCGUACUGAGCCCUUAUCAAAGGAACUCUUUUGUCGACUUGUGAGAAACACUAUGACCAACAUGAUUUCAAUAGCAAGAGCAACUGAGGACUCCAGAUACCCCAGCAAACAUGAGGUUGAUGCCAUAGCAAAACGAUUGGUGGAGUACUACCCGAUGCUUAAAGGAACAUGUGGUGGGUGGGAUCAUGUGGCCAAAAAGCUGAUGAAGAGACUCUCGAAUGUCAAAAGUCCAAAGAAAGGUAAACAUCCUCCUUCAAAGAAGCC